UACUGGGUUAUGUUAAGGGAACGCCGAUACCACAAAAUGAUGAAAAGCAGAGAGGAGAAAAUGUUUCUAUGCCUCCAACAGCAACAAAACCAGCGGUAAGAAGAGUUUCCCAGGCAGAAAUGCAGCCUUGUGUUUGAAGGCUGUAUUAGUAAACAGGGUAAGCCUUACCAUAGGUGGGGCUAAACAUGCCGUGGUUUGCACUAUCUCCAUCUUUGCAUCAAGUGAGGAGGCCCAUAGACAGGUCCGUCCUACAGGCAGGGUCUGGAGGCUCCCUGUGCUUACAGAUACCAUCUUUAACUGUUAACUUCACGUUCUGUAAACAGAAAAAGCAAGUGGCAUACUAUGAGAGGCCCCACUGCUCCCAGGAACAGCAUUAUCAGGCUUAGAAAAAGAACCAACACACAGCUGCCCUACAAUGUUGCUUGUUGGGGAUUUCAUUUUUUUCUGCUAAAAUUAAAACGGUGUCUCCUGAAAUCAUCACUGCAGCAAUAGCUGCAUUAUUUGUAUGGGCACACUGGAGGCACAGCUCUGGUGGUAUCUGCUGCAAGAGCACAGCGUUUGUGUGCGCAGUACCUUGGGGUGACCCCAACCCACCCAUCAUCCAAACCAAAUGCAGGCAUUCAGUACAGAAGGAAUUUUCCCAGCACUAUUUAAGGAGACUUCAAGUGGAGGAGAAGAAAAAGAGAAAUAAGACAUGCAAGGCGUUUUAUAAAGAUGUGUUUUAACUUCUAAGGCAGUCAGGAACCAUGGUGAUGAAUGUGACACAAACUUAAAUUGCUCAGAUACGAGCUCUGAUCCACUGGGAACCAUCCUCAGAUUCAUAAAGAGCAUCAAAUGCUAAUAGCUUCUAAUCAGAACCUACCUGGGCCCGAUUUAACCAGUGACAUACAGCUGAAAGCCCAUGGGAUGCAUUUUGAUUUAAAUGUCAUCCAUCCCUUCGGCAAUGUGAAGUGACCUCGGGCUUAAAUGAGCAUCUCUGCAAUUUUAUGCCAUUGGGAAGUUAAAUGCAGUAUCUUGCCCAAAGUGCAGGGCAAUUUGAUUGAUGCCAAAAUGAACUCACUUUUUUUUGCCCCCAGUAUUUCGUUUCUUCUCUGCUCAGCAUUCUGACUGACUUUACAGGAAGCUUAUGGUGGUUUAUAGAUUAUGGACUUAAAAGUGGUGAACAGAUAGCUAUAUUUGUUUUGAGCACCCCACGGAGAGCAAAAACAGUCCUUAACUGCAGAACUACGCUGUCCGUAACAACCUUGGACUCACACUGGAUGUCGUUCUGCCGCUGUCACACUGUCACUGUCGUAGGGGAUGUCGUGUCAUGUUCUUGUCAGAUCUGAUGUUCACAAAUAUGAUACAGCUUGAAAACUUAGGUACAAUUUCAAGUCCUUUUAAUGCUCCUUAGUUUUAGAGAAGUCAUUUACAAUUAUAUCCUAAAUAUUUUAGAAGGAAUCCAUUUUACGGCAUCCUUAAAAUCUUAUAAAACUCUAACAGUUGUAAUUAACAUACUGACAUUUUGCUGCUAUGUAAAAUUAAGUUGCUUUUAUUUCUCAGCUGCAGUAGCAGCAGUAUCCAGGCACUGUCCUGCACUUCAGUAAUGGAAAUUUCCCAGCUUCAAAGCACACUUUGUCUCAGUUGGCUGCAGUAAAACCGAGUGAUUUCUAUAUUGUUGUGUGCUUCACUUGUCCUUAGUUAUCUGGAGCUUGUAUCUUUUGAAAACCAGCUUCUCCACGAGUCAGCUUCGCUUUGCUCAAGACUUCCAAUUCUGUAAACAAGCUAUGGAUGAUGCAAGUAUUGAGCCAGAGUUAUUCUGCAGGAGUGACAAAACACAUGCACAGUCAGUGUUUGCACAGAAUGUUAUGGUGACUUACGAGGACGUCGCUGCAGUCACAGUUUGCGUGUGCCGAAGUUCCAUGCACCAAAAGGCUACUGAGAUUUUACAGAACAGACUUAGCGUGUAAUAUCAGCCUCCUGAUCUCUCUGUUUUUGAUAUCAUCAGUUGCUAGACGAAUACACAAAAACACAAAAUAGGCAGUAAGAUUAUUACAAAACCUCACAAGGCUCAUGAUUUACAAAUACUUAAACACACUGUCUGUUUCCCCCAGUCACUCUCAGUUCCACUUCACACUGGACAAGGGAUGCCUCCAAUAAGGGCAGAAGUUAAAGAACAUAGACACAGGAUUAUUGGGGUUUUAUGUGGUCCAGAUAUUGCAGCAAUUUCAUUUUCAUUCUUUCUCACUCACAGUUAAAAAAUCAAGGGGGUAUGUGUGAUGAAGAGCUUGACUGAUGGGAGGAUAGAGAAGAAAGCAUCAGUCCUGAUAUCAGCCCAAUUGCAUUACACCUGGGGCAGACACAGAAGCACCUUCACUGAGAACCAGUUUAGGAAAUGAUACCAAACCUUCAUGACAAUGCUACUAGAACUUCAUUUCAAGUGAUGUUCUUAGCACUCGUUUUGGUUUAUAACAACCAUGUAGGUAGUGAUCUUGUGGUGGCACAAGUAUAAUUCCCCGCUGUCUGCUCCUGUUGUACAUAGCACUGUCUGAACAAGGCAUAGGAAACAGUGUGCCAGUGGGAUUCUGAGAUGCUCACAUAAAAGCCCAGAAUACAGACAGCACUGGUACAUCACACAACAAGAGCAUGGAGCCCUUAUGAGACAGCUUGGAGGCCUCAGCGCCGUUAUUGUGAAUAUAAAGUUUCCACAUAUGAACGGUCACUCUUAGCUUUCCCAUUGCUGCUCUUGGCAGACAACAAGAGCUGACUGGAAAUGGAACAACUGUUUCCCUGCACCGGUCAGAGCCCAGCCUGCUGGCACAGAGUGGCAGAAGAGGCACUGCCCCAGGGCUUGGGCUGAGAUGCACUGCAGUACCUGCAGGGCAGUCUGCAUCGCUGCUCUCCAGGCAACACUAUGCUGCAGGAGGAAAGGUGGCAGCCUCUUCUCUUGCGCUUUGUUCAGUCUGCUGAUCAGAGCGCCCAAAGAGUCUGUACUGCAUAACUUUAAAGAUAGGAUAUAAAUUACAGACAUCAGUUCCCAGUCUAGCAAAUCAACAUUCAUUUUUAAAACAAUCGGUUCUUUUGCAGCUUUGCAUAUCUAUAGCAGAAAUGAGCCACGCAGGCAGGAGAGACUUCUUGAAGGAAGUGGUGUCGCAGUAUUUUGGAAAAAAAAAAAGCCAAGCUGUUGGAAUAUGUGCUGCAUUACAUGGGCAAUGCAGUACCUUGGAGUGCUUCCUGUUUACACCACACCACACCAUACAACUUGCAAGCAUUUGUUAAUAAACACUCCUAAGGAAAGAAUUAAUAAUAUCCAAGUAUACAGCCCCCUGCGGCACCUGUCGCUGUAAACGGGAAGUUUUCAUGAUAGUAUCAGGGGGUUGUUGGUGUGAGACAAGCAGCUUAUGAGGCCCAGUCCAUGUCCCACUGAAAUCCACACCGCAUCUCUCAUAGGGUCAUUGGAUCCCUGGCAUACUUUUUUUUCCCCUGUAAAUAUGUAAAUAGCAAUUCAUUUGAAUAAAUUUUUACUCUCAGCAUUUGUCAUUUUUGCAAACAUAGGAAUACGAAGCAUGAACUUCUGCAGAAACGCAGCACAGAGCCUGACAUGAUGAUGGCAAAAGUACAGCCUGCUCCUAAGAACAAUAAUCGGCAAGUUCUGAGGUGACCAAUCAAAUACAGACAUUGCUCCCACGAUCAGAGCAGCACUGCCUUGCUGCAUGAGCUUUCACACAGGACAGCUCAGUCCAGCUCUUGUAGCUCUCAUCAGACUAAGAGAAAGGCUGAACCUCAGAAGGAUGUUCCCUCCAGCCACCAGCACUAGAUCUAGCUAAAUUUCAUGUAAUUAAGACUUUUAUAGCAUUUUAACAAUGGGAAAAUUAUCUGCUUCCAUUACCAUUGUCUUACCUGACAUCAGCGGUUAUUACUUCAGAUAUGCAGAGCCCCACGACAAGAUGCCUUCUGUAAGUGCAAUACAUCCAUUGUAAUCAAGUGCUACAUUAUCUUACUACAGUACUGAGCCUAUGGGUCUUGUACAAGUGACACAAAAUUGUUGUGGGGAUCCAUCGGUGCCCUCAUUUCCCACUGUCAUUAUCAGAGCCCAAGUGAACCUUUGGCCUGGAAAUCUUUUGGCAAAAAGACCAGCAGCAAUGAAAGUAUUUCUGACUAUUUGACAAUAAGGGCUGCUUAAAUAAACAAACAAACAAACAAACAAAUCAUAGAAUCAUAGAAUCGCUAAGGUUGGAAAAGACCCACAGGAUCAUCCAGUCCAAUAAAUAAAUAAAAGGAAGAAGAAGGAAAGGGAAAAGAGAGAGCAGGAGAGAAUGCUGCUCUUGGAAGAACAUGGCAAAACAUCUAUAGAAUGACACUGUGCAUCUGAUUUUGAAGGUACAAUUAAUGGAGGUGGAGUAAGAUUAAGGGGCUGUGCUCUGCCAAGCAGUGUGUGCAGGAGAGCAGACAGCAGAUGCCCAGACACUUAGGCCUAUGCCUCUCAUGUUAGGCUGCAGUACGGAAGUGUGUGUGGAUAUUUAAUUGUAAUUCAUCUAUGAAUUGCUUGGGUUUAUGAAUCUGGGAAGCCCAUAUGCUGCAGCAAGAAAUGUGUGUUUAUUAGCACAGUAGUUCCACCAGCCUUUCC
ensembl:lncRNA